GGCGAUACAGACUAUUUGUUUAUUAUGAAACUAACUGGUAAAGCAGAGUAAAUCCCAUUCUAUAUUAUAGCACUACAAACAUCCUUAGUCAUUCCUUCAUUUGUUCAUUCAUUCAUUCAUGCAUUCAGUGAGUAUUUCUUAAGCUCCUACAGUGUACCAGGAGGCACUCUGUUCAUUGUGGCAUUACAAAGAUAAAGAUUAAGGCACGUACUCUGCCCUCAAGGAGCUCCCAAUCUAAUUGUGCAGAGAGAUGUGAAAAUGAAGCAUGAAACUCCAUCGUGAGGAGCGCCGAGAACAAAAGUCUGCUCGAAGUGAGGCAGAAGUAUGGAUUCAUUCCACCACAGGUCCCAUGGGAAAGGUAUGUGGCAUUUCUCCUCCUCUUCAGAAUAAUGAAUGCUUGACAUAGCUUUCAUCACUGUCUUUCAGUUCCAGUGUUACAAGGGGGAUCCCCAGCACUACAGUGAGUCGCAGUGAACCCAGAAAUGAUUAGCAUUCUCUUUAUUCAUUUAUUUAUUUAUUUAUUUUUGAGACAGGGUCUCACUCUGUUGCCCAGACUGGAGUGCAUUGGCAUGGCUCACUGCAGCCUCCACCUCCUGGGCUCAGGUGAUUCUCCCACCUCAGCCUCCCAAGUAACUAGGACUACAGGCACACCACCGCACUUGGCUAAUUUUUGUAUUUUUGUUGUAGAGAUGGGAUUUUGCCAUGUUUCCCAGUCUGGUCUCGAAGUCCCAGGCUCAAGCAAUCCUCCUGCCUAGGCCUCCCAAAGUGCUGGGAAUACAGGUGUGAGCCACCACAGCCAGCCAGCAUUCUUAAUGUUUUCUUACAAAGGUGUAUCUCUGUCAAACUCUUCCAUUCACUUAAAGAAAACCAUUUAUGAUGCGUCUUAAAGAAAGCAUGCUUACAUUUGCCUUUUAUUGCCAGAUUUCUCUACUUGGCUUUAUUAAAGGGCCCAAAUGGCAGCGGUAGGGGUGUCGGACAUGUUCUAAUAACAUAUGCUAAACACAUAGAGGGGAGGCAGCUUGUCAUUGCAGAGGUGGGAGAAUCACUUGAGCUUGGGAGACCAAGGCUGCAGUGAGCUAUGAUAGCACCACUGCACUCUAGUCUGGGCAACAGAGUGAGACCUUGUCUC
rnacentral:lncRNA from 10 species